AGGCCUCCAGGUCCAGGGUGCCCACCUCUCCUUUUCUCUCGCGUCCCACCCUCACCCUCCCGAUCUCGUGAGCUGCAGGGGAAAUCGGUCUCCAGAAUCGCCACCACCGAUGCCGCUCGGUUCCCCUCCGCAAUGGUCUCCACCAGCGCCGCGUGCCCCCAAGAAAAUGGCGGCCUUGGAUGAAAACGUGCGGCUCGAUCGACCUUGAGAUCCCCAUCAACGCGGACUCCCCUAUGACCAAACCAACGAUCAAUGUGUGGUGAGAAUGACAGCAGUAUGCACCACAUUUGCAGUCUUAACUACAUGGUAAGCUUUACUAAACUAAAACUUGUCCAAACGUUUGCAACCAACGUUGGAAAAAUUUAUCAGGUUGCAGUUUUGCGGCCAUGUUGAAUCGCUUUUAUACUUAAUAUUUUUGAUGGGUCGUACAAGCUGGUUGAACUGCCACUGGUUGCUACAACCUACAAAUAUACAGAUCUUCAUUAUAUGACUCACUAUAUAUGAACUUCUUCAUGCAUAAAUUGUGUUUUUAGGCGAUUCACUUUAGAAAUUGGUGUGCUAUAACAGUGAGACUGUUCUAUAUAUUGCUAUCCAGAUUUGACAUUUAGUUUCCAUAACCUUUAUUUUUCUGUUAUUAUUAAGGACAACAUGCUAAUUUCUCUAAUCCACUCUUAUUGUAAUGUUAUGAUUUUGUUUCUAGGUUAGUAAAACUUUUUAUUCAGCUCAAAGAGGUCCUGCAGUACAUCCUAGGAAAUAAAGGCGAGUCAAUUCGGUGAGGAUAAACUGGAUUGCCUUCUAUUGUGGCGGGUCAAACUAUUUUUUGAAACACCACCACCACCUACAUGCUUUUUUCUUCCUUUUCUUUCUAAUAGAGCGCUGAUUGUACCUACUUAGAAAUAUUAGUGGAUGCAUCCAAGUCUGAUUUGGCACUUCUUUUUUAAGCUGAAUGGAGAGGUCAUAUUUAGCUAUAAGUUGUUUGCUACUGUAUUUCUUUAGUUCCAAUUAAUUGGAUUUGAUUUUAAAGUUCUACAACCAAAUGAUAGUUCAGAGAGAGUACAUGUUGUUACUCCACUUAUUUAAAAACUACCAGAGAGAGUACAUGUUGUUACUCCACUUAUUUGACUAAAUGAUGCAAAUGCUUUCCCCAUAGGAUAACUUGACAAUUUGUCGAGAGAAGUAAUAAAAACCGUCAAGCUUAAAGAGCAAAAGUUUGAGCACUAAAACGGUGAGUUCAGAUGCCAUGUAGUUCAUAGUCUAUGUGCAACGGCUUUUUAAUUUGACUGAAGCAAAUGUGAUUUCUGGUUCAUAGUAGGGAUUAGUGCAUUACUGCCACACACUGAUGUGAUCAUCCAUGUCUGCUGAGGUGCCUUAGGUUUGUGAUGCUGAAGUUGUCGUACAUAUGCAAUUUUUUCUAUUAUUCUUUCACCAAAAUGUUAUUAACCAUGCGGAACUUUUUUCUUCUCUUUUAUCUGAUUCUAUUUGUAGACCAAGUGAUUUAUUUAUGAUAGCGAAUUUCUGGUGUACAUGUGAAUAUCUCAUGUCUAUAGUCAGUACACCUCCCUGAACAAGAUCAGAGUAUUAUAUGAACAAGCAUGGUUUGUAGUAUGAUCUACUUAUCAUUAGUUCAUGAUACUCCCUCUGUCCCAAAAUUCUUGUCUUAAAUUUGUCUAAAUACGGAUGUAUCAAGUCAUGUUUUAGUAUUAGAUACAUCCGUAUCUAGACAGAUCUAAGACAAGAAUUUUGGGACGGAGGGAGUACCUAGAUGUAUGAUAUCCAGUCUGCCAAUGUGGUCGCAGAACUUGCUAUUUAUAAUCUCCUAAUGAAAUGUUAUGAUUUGUAUGGUAUAGGAAUGAAAAUACUUUCAGAUGUCAAAGAACAUUUAAAGCAUCUAACUAUACUCGCAAAAAGCAUAUCAAUAUGCAUUUUAGUAAAUUGCCAAAAUACUCUUUUCAGUAUAAAAUGUUGUCUUAAAAGAUGGAAUUGUAUCUUUUUUGGGUGACUGUUGGGUUGUCUGAUUGUUCACUAAUCAUUCUUCGAGGGAUUCCUUGCCGCCACACUUAUCACCGCCUCCCAACAUGUCACUUUUAGGUGGGCAUCAUCACAGCUGCCAUAUAGGAGAACUCCCUAUCUUUGAUAUGCUCAACGGCGGUGACAUGCCUAGAGCAGUGCAUAACAUCACAGGAGAAGUCACAGGCUGUGGGGCUUUGCGGAGACUUCCCGCCACCAAGACGAGCCUCCCCAUUUUGAACGCAUUAGCAGGACCUCGGGAAGCCCAUCAUCACACCGCCCUGGGUCGUCAAGUCUCCGUUGCCGUCAUAUUUGUUCAACAUCAAAUUAAAUGAAUCCAGAAAUCAAGUGAUAGUUUGGUCAUAGUGGAUUGAAUUGGGAAGCUCAAGUUAUGCACUAUUCUCGUGAUGGGUUUUUGGUAUGUUUCGGUUCAUAAUUAGCUUGGUGAUCUGCAUUAGUCGUGGUUUGCUACUGAUUCUUUUUUGGAUCAGUUAUAUCUAUGUUUGACUAUUCAACUCCAUGAAUGAAUCCAUGUACAUGUCUUUACUUUCCUGUUCUAUUUUGAGAGCACACAUAUUGAGUUGUGGGGGCCAUGUCGAGUAUACCUAUUGAGUUGUGCAGGUUAUUGUCUAUAUCUAUAUGUACAGUAGCCCGUGGUGUCCUGGAAGUUUGACUAGGAAAGGCAACAACAAAACUGCGUCCUGGAAAUGUCAUUCUGCUUGGUCUUAUGAGUUUACUGAAUUGACAGACUCUUGUUUCAAUGUUUCUAAUGCUCACACCAUUAUGUCAGGCAAAAUUAUGGGGUACAUGUCUUUGCUAAUACCUCCAAAUUAUUCUCUACAGUGAAGAAUCAAGCUUAUCUAUUUUAGGUCAGUGUUUUUGUAUUCACUAAAUAUUGCCAGUGGUGAAGCCGAAACUAAGCAGUGUGCGUGAGGAAGGCAAGCUUGCUGACGAGCGUGGGGGCGACCAUGAUGUGGCUCGGAGAAAGGGUGCAUAUGGAUUACUUAUUACCCAUUGGGUCUGCAAAUAUGAGAGUGGCAAGGCAUGGGUAUUUAGCUCGAGCUGUGCAUGGGCUGCUCGAGCUGCGCGCCAAUGUGGAGGCCCCGCACCGCCGCCGAUGGGCUGAUGUUGUUGCACGUCGUGGCGGGGACGUCCGUGUGUGUGCUGCUUGUGCUGGGCGCUGAUGUGGUCGCCCCCGAUCGGAAGGGACGCCGCUGGAGCUGCUGCGGGAUAUGGUGGUGGUCCGCUGAUGGAGCUGGGAGCAGACGCGGAGGCAAUGGGCCCGACUCUCUGUGUGCAAAUCAUGAUGACUUGGAGCACUGCCAUGGGAAGUUUUUAUUCAUCUUUACCUAUAUUUAUUGGAUUAGGUUCCAUUGGCAGGUGAGAUUCUUAUCCUGAAUGCUUUUAUUCUAUUUUUGCCAAGACACUUCUCCUUAAUAUGUUCAAUAUUCAUAAUAAACUUGUUGCGGUAGAAUUACAUGAUUUCUAAACAUUUUGAUUCAUAAUACCAAUUUGCUGUAUCAUGGGGUUUAUUAGAAAUCCUAAUGCAUUUCUAAUCAGGAUUGUUUCUAAUGGUGAUUAAAUCUGUCAUAGUGUCAACAGGUUAAAGAUGAUGUACCCUUUUCCCGUUUGGAUACCAACCAUUGCAUUCAGCAGUAAGAUAUGUUGCUUAUUUACUUGUAGAAUCAAGUGGGUUAGAGGCAUCUGCUUUUAACUAUUUACGACACUUCUUCAGCUUCUUUGAUUUUCAGUAGUUGGUCCGUUAAUCAUCUAAAUUUUUCCUGAUUUCACAUCCAUGGUAUCUGCUUUGCUUUAGUACCUGUUCAUGGUUCACUCAUGAUUUGUUUCUUUCUCCCUAUCAGUCUUACCAUUUUGUUUUGCUUGCUUUACCUUGUAGCUUCUCUGUCACACUUUUUAUGCUUUUACGAUGUCCUAAUAAAAGUUUUGUGUAGGCAGAUAAUUUUUUGCUUACUACAAACUGUAAGAAGCUGAAGCUUACUGAUCUGGGGCUUGCACGAGAGGAAACUGUAACUGAAAUGAUGACGACUGAAACUGGGACAUACUGAUAUGGACACAGAGGUUAUAAAUCACUCUUUUCCACAAUAGAUAGUCAAUAUUAAAAAAAUUAGGAACUGAAGCCGAAAUAAAAUGGUUCCUGGUUGUAGUUUCCUGGGUUGAUUCUUCAAAUUAUACUUCAAUUUGUAUGCCCUCGCGAUAAUUUUCUGCCUGAAGUUUCUAGAGCUCACUGAUUUUAGGACCUUCUAUACAAAGAGAAAUCUGAUGCUCUAGAAUUUGUGUAUGAAGAUUGCUUUAAUAACAAUCGUAAAUAUAAUUAUAUUCUUCAAUUAAGUAAUGAUAAUGUAAUAUUGCAUCCUGUCAUUUACAAUCAGAUAGACAAGUGACCUUAAGUAUAAGGUUUCAAACUAUUUAACGCUCAAUGCUUGUUAUAUAAUUCUCCGUGGUAAGAUCAACUGAGUUGGGCAUCAUAAUUGGCACUAAACAUCCAAAGUUAAGUUCGUGCUCACCAUUUCACGAUUAUAUUUUUGGUACUGAUAUUUUCAUAUUACCAGUUCGCUGAAGAUAGAGCUCUGGCAUUGUAUUGAAGCUCAACUCCGCAUGAAAGUGUACAACUUCACUGUUAUGUUCUGGCACUCGAAUUUGCUAUGCUUUGCAUGCUAGGAAUACUUACACGUUCAUUCUUAAAUCAUCUUGUUAUAUGGCAUUGUAGGUCUGAUGGAAAAGAACUUCUGUGAUAUAGGCCAGGACGGAGGACGUUGUCAAUGGAAAACAUGGCUCCGCAUGAAGGUUCACUCGCCAAUAGUCUUCAAGAAGAUGCGAAGGUCAUGGUUCUGUGUUGAUGCCCCUUGAAAAAAAUACCUUCACAUUUUCUUGUUUGAAGGAACGCUAGGAGGAAUUGAGGAUGCGAAAAAUGUACGGAGGAAAGGGAGACUAGGAGAGGUGCACGGUGAGGCAUCGACGUAUGCUUUUUGUCAUGGUGUUCUCAUAUCCAAACUUGAAUCAAGUAUGCUUUUUGAAUGGCUUGCACUAAAGCAGAGUAUAAUUCUUAUACUUGUGUUUUAAAUUGACUACAUGUUGUCGUCUCCUCUUGUAUACAUCUUCCCUAACUACCCAUUUUGUGAUGGGUUGUUAAGCUACCAUUCAAGGGAAUGCAUGUUGACAAAUGUA